CGUUCCAGUUUAGAUGCAGUUGGAUCCACACGCGCAGGUUACAAGUUGGAAGGUGUUAGCAAAUUUUCUUGCUAGACUUAAGUUAAGUAAUAUUUCAUUCCAUUAGUAUUCUAGUAUGUCAUACUAUAUCAUAUACUAUUGCUUUAUAUUACUAUAUACAGGAAUCUUACUGCACUACAUUACAUACAAUAAUACUAUGCAAGUUUUGUGCCUUGUUUAUUACUUUAUUAUAGUUAAGUUUAUAUUAUUAUCACAUUCUGUUUCAGGACUCGCGAUAGUUUUUAUUACGUCACUCGCGACGUCACACGCAAUAUUUUGGUUCACAAACGCUGCGUUCCGUUACGUCACAAACCGACACAAUCGUUUAAAUUUCGCUCGCUACCGCUCACGUUAACGUUUCGUCAUUAGUUUCGUUACGUCAUAGCUGAACAACAGGCGACUGUUGUAGGCUUACGUUUUUUCAUGGGGCCCCAUGCGCGUUUUGCGUCGACGCACGGCACAUUACUUGUAUAUUCUAAAUUUAUUUGCGUAAUAAACGCGAAGUAAGAAGAUCAAAGAACUGGUAAAGUAUAAAUCACAAUUGGCAUUAUUACGUACAUGAGCUGUUUUUUAGAAACAUCGACGAUGUGACGUCACGAAGUGGUGAUGAUGCAAUAGAAGAACCCACUUUUUUGGUUUACAGAACAUAGUAUUUGACGUCACAGAGGAUCAAGCCAGCCAUGACACGAAGGAAGAAUGAAGAAGAGCCAGCAAAUAAAGGUACAGGUGAAAAGUGCAAGACAAAGAACAAAGACGAAGACACCGAUAAAGGAUACACGGUUUGAGGUUUGAGGUUUAUUAGUAUGAGUUGUAUGCGUGUCUUGUCGUCUGCGCUGCUGUAUUAUUUUUCUGUUGGACCUAAUGUUGCCAGCUAUUUUUUGUUAGUCACUACUUUAGUGCAUUUUGCAGUUCACUGAAAUAUAUACAAAGAAACUAUAGCGAACAUCUUGCUGGAUCAGAUUUUGUUGUUGUACACUCUAGGGGGGCUAUGGUAUGUAACUUCUACGCUUGGUGAGAACGCUAUAUUGGUGCACAAAUACUCUAGUAAUAUUACCACACAGUAUGAUAUGCAAAUACAUUGGGUAAUAACCGUUUUAAAAAAUGUACACCAAAAACUCCCCACGUAACAAUGGUUUUAUAUUUAAACGUGAUGUAGCACGAUUGGGACGAUGGCCACGUCACAAUUUUGCUACGACAUCGAUACGGUGGGUCAGAGCAUUGUCAUGACCCUGCGUUCGGAGCGGUAACGUCACUUUUGAUUUCGAUAUAUGUUACGGCCAGGUGGACGUCGCCGCCAGUGAUGCUACGCUCAGAUAUUUAGGUCACUGUUAAUGCGGUUCGCAACAACUUGGCGCGGUUUCAUAACGGUCCAUACGGUGCGUAACAUCCGGACGGUAUUACAUUGAAUAAAGAUACGACGAGAGUAUCGCGGUACCAACAUGGCGAAUUACCUUUUGAUUGAGACAUUCGGAGCUGUUAAUGGCUUUGGCUCCUAGUCGUAGUACAUUUAAUAUAGUGUACACUGCAGAUGAUUAUCCUUCAGGAUUUAAACUAUACUUUCUUUGAAGAUGUUUCAAUGAACAUGUCCGCGUUAAUUACUUUUUAGACGCCUCCCCUUUUUUGAAUGACUGAGCUGUUGUGUUUGUUGCAUGUUUGGCACAUUGUAUCUCUGCACUCGUUGUACUAUUUUUGUCUUUUUGAUAGUGUGUUAUUUGUAUUAUUUUGUCUAUAUAGGG